AAAAAAAAAAAAAAACCUUAUUUUCCCCAUGGUAAGGAAAGAGUUAAUUCCAAAUGACAGUGUUUUGCUGUGUACCACAUAGACAUCAAAAUGGCAUUCAGUGAAGCAAACUGUGCUCGCUCAAAGUGACACUAAAUUUGCUAGUCUCAGUGUUAAAAUUCCGGCUAAAGGCUUGUAGCAGGCCAGCAGACACUGAAAUGCACACAGCUGACAAGCAUUAGGAAUAAGAACCUGUCCACGUGGUCUCUAAAAUAGACCUGCAAUGUUUGAACAAUGUGUUGUUGCAUUUUGAACCGGCACACUGCUGAUAAUGCAGCCCUUCAACCCUUGAUGGGCUAGAUAAAAUUGUGUGCACGUGCUAAGGAGUCACCACAAAUCAGCUGGGUCCUGAGAAAACUACCUGCAAACACUGGUAAAAAAUGUUUCUUUACAAGUAAGGGCACAAGGUAACCAUACAAAUGCAUCAGCAUAGACACUAUACAUACAAGUUACUAUGUACACAGAUGCAAUAAAGUGUAGGUAUUAAUGCUCAAGUGCAUUCCCUUCAAUAUGUGCUGCAUCAUUCACGAUUACCACUCACAUUAAUGGUGAAUCACAGACUUGAACUGCAAUAGCCAAGCUCGGGCUGAUAGUCCAUGCACACUUUCAUGCUAACCACUAACUUCAGCUAACUGCUAUUUAACAAUAUCCACAUUGAAUGAUCUGCACACCAAAUCACUGGUACUAACAAUUUCGAGUUCUGUGUACCUGCUGAUCAGUUUAGGAAGCAGGUCACAACAAACUCGCACCACAGAGAGCAGAGGCAUGACUUUUAAGUGAUAAGAAAUUACAGCCCGAAAUUCGGCUAUAAUACACUGUGAUGUAGUAGAAGCACUUGCCAAAGUCACGUGACUGGGCGAAAUUUGCGACAAGAAAAUGGAUCACAUGCAUCAAAAGUUGCACACCACAAAAGCCACCACUAUAUAUAGAUGUAAGGCAUAAAAAUACUGCACUGUUGCCACCCCUAAACUUCUCGUAGUCAUGUGCUCAAGGAACAUAAAAGAUGUGCCAAAAGUCGCCACAGGUGGUGCUAGAACACCUGUACGAGCACUACAGCACAAAGAGAAAACUCUUCAGACAGUGACAAAGGCAGGAGCGAAUAUUCUCCCAACAAAAUCAGAAUUCUCCCACGGCAGCAAUCGCACAUGCAUGUCAAAAACAUAACGCUGAUCACGAACUGCUAAGCUAUACUAAAUUUGGGGUCACUAUACACUGCCAACCAUUUCUGAAGUAAACCUGCAUAUACUGAAUUCUCUACUGCGCUCGAUUUCUGGGUUGUCAUCUUGCCACUGCUGUUUGAGUCCUGUUGUUAUGAAGAAAGUGAAGGCAAUC
rnacentral:lncRNA from 1 species